rnacentral:lncRNA from 1 species
UGCAUGGUGUGAGGGUGUGUUCUAGUUUCAUUGCUUUGCAUACAGCUGUCCAGGUUUCCCAGCAAUGCUUGCUGAAUAGACUUUCCUUUUCCCAUUUUAUGUUCUUGCCUCCCUUGUCAAAGAUUAAUUGAUCAAUUGUGGUUUAUGAGGCCUGUUUGAAUUACAGAAAUUAUAGGGAAGGUGAGCCCACAUGGCAGAAGAUACCCUUUGUGAAAGCAGUUUUGAAGAGUAAGCUCUUCCUAGGCUGUCUGUGGUUAGCUAUAGUUAUUCACAGAAAAUACGGAUCUAAGGGAAACCCUAAUAUAUUUAUUGCCUUUCUGAUAUGAAAAAGGACAAAUAUAAUAGCUUGGUCUGCAUGGCUAAAGAGCAGGAAAGAACCAAAUAAAAGACACUGACUAAAUCAUAGAGUAUUAGAGCUGCAAGAGACCAUCUCUCCAGUCCAAUGUUUCUUAAAGUGUGAUCCAAGGACCACCGACCUCAGCAUAAUUAGGGCCUCUUAUUGCAAAGUUAGACUCCUGAGCCCUAACUCAGACCUGGUGUUGGGUUCUACUUAGGAAUCACUCUCUUUCUCUCUCUCUCUCUCUCACACACACACACACGCACACACACACACAUGAUAUAGUAAAGGAUAGAACUUUAGACUUUUCCAAUUCCCUUUGCCCCUAUCAGUUUCUAAGGUUUAUAGAUUAUUUUUUGUCCAAUGUUUUUUCAUAGAGAGCCAUCCCUAUUUUCCAUUGGUGUCAUCAUCAUUCUAGUUCAGGUCUUUAUCAUCUUAUGCAACCCUGCUAACUGGUCUGUCAAAUAACACAGAUUUUUCAGGUUUUAGUAUAUCUAAUGCAUGACUAAAAUAGUAGUUUCACUAUAUUAUCCCUUGCUCAAAAACUUCUACAGUUUACCGUUGCCUAGAGAAUGUCCACCAAACUUGAAAACCCAUUAUUAUUUGUCUUUCAUAUAGCCCUGUUUUCUCUUUCUUGCCUAUCAUUAUUAUCUACCCAAUGUGAACAAUUAACUCUCUACUCAAAACACCAUUUUUGUUUGCACCAGUGCUGUGAUUAAUACAUAACUAAUAGUUCCUACUCUCCUUUUUUUUUUUUUGCUUUUGAGGGCUGCACUCAUUGCAUGGCAUAUGGAGGUUUCCCAGGGUAGGGGUUGAAUCUGAGCUACAGCUAUCAGCCUACACCACAGCUCAUGGCAAUACUGGAUCCUUAACUUAACCCACUGAGCAAGGUCAGCGAUUGAACCUGCAACCUCAUGGUUACUAGUUGGAUUAGUUUCCACUGCGCCACAAGGGCAACUCCUACUCUCCUACUCUUAAGAAACAUUCAUUAUAGUUUACAAAGCAAACUGCUGUUUGUAUGACACUGAAAAUCAGUCACUAGUUCCAUACAUAUUCUGGAGAAUUCUCUUGUCAUAUCAUGAGACUGAAAAUUCAAUCCAAAUAUAAGGGAUCAUUUUUUUAAAAGCCGUUUAAGGGAGUUCUCAUCAUGGCUUACCAGGUUAUGGACCCAACGUUGUCUCUUGAAGAUGCAGGUUUUAUCCCUGGCCUCACUCAGGUAACAGAUACGGCUUGGAUCCAGUGUUGCCUUGGCUGUGGUGUAGGCUGCAGCUGCAGCUCUGAUUCAACCCCUAGCCCAGGAACUUGCAUAUGCUACAAGUGCAGCCAUAUAAAGAAAAGAAAACAG